GUAGGGGGCUAGCGUUGUCCGGAUUUAUUGGGCGUAAAGAGCGCGUAGGCGGCCGUGUAAGUCCGACGUGAAAUCUGGAGGCUCAACCUCCAGCGGUCGUUGGAAACUACACGGCUAGAGUCCGGAAGAGGAGAGUGGAAUUCCUGGUGUAGCGGUGAAAUGCGCAGAUAUCAGGAAGAACACCGAUGGCGAAAGCAGCUCUCUGGGACGGUACUGACGCUGAGGCGCGAAAGCGUGGGGAGCGAACAGGAUUAGAUACCCUGGUAGUCCACGCCGUAAACGAUGGGUGCUAGGUGUGGGCGGUGUCGACUCCGCCCGUGCCGAAGCUAACGCAUUAAGCACCCCGCCUGGGGAGUACGGCCGCAAGGCUAAA
rnacentral:rRNA from 1 species